rnacentral:rRNA from 1 species
UACAGAGGGUGCAAGCGUUGUUCGGAAUUAUUGGGCGUAAAGAGCUCGUAGGCGGUUCGUCGCGUCGGCUGUGAAAUCCCGAGGCUCAACCUCGGGUCUGCAGUCGAUACGGGCGGACUGGAGUACUGCAGGGGAGACUGGAAUUCCUGGUGUAGCGGUGAAAUGCGCAGAUAUCAGGAGGAACACCGGUGGCGAAGGCGGGUCUCUGGGCAGUUACUGACGCUGAGACACGAAAGCGUGGGUAGCAAACAGG